rnacentral:lncRNA from 1 species
UAUAUAUGUGUGUGCGUGCGUGCGUGUGUGUGCUCAGAAACUUUGAUGAAAGAACACUGAGAGGGAGUGGCUGGAUGUUCAUAAGCUCGUUUUCUUUGGAUAAGAAAGUAGAAGAAUGAUUGUUUAAUUGAAAUGUGCCUGGAUGCUUGAGGAGGCUUUAAAUCCCUGGCUUUAGUAGGAAUUUGAAGAGAGCAUGUUCAAGAGUUCUUCAGUUCAGACUGAGGUGCUGGAAAACAAACCCUACUGCUGCUUUCCCAACCCUCAGGGAGCAGAACCUGUUGUCUGGAAAGCUGGAGUUACAAAAGACUGGAUGGUGAAGCCACAGGGUCUCGCUAGUACAAAAGGCUGGUUAAACCAUAACAAGAACAAGACUUUUUUGCUCAGGAACCAUAACAAGAGCAGGACUGCUCAGGAACAAACUACCACCUCCCUGUGAUGAGUGGUUGAAACUGCUUUGAAUUAAAUGUGUGUUGCUGGUGUUCUGCUGCAAGACUAUGUACAUGCUAUUGGAAAAUCAGAAUUUCAUAUAGAA